GUGCCAGCAGCCGCGGUAAGACGAACCGUGCGAACGUUGUUCGGAUUCACUGGGCUUAAAGGGCGCGUAGGCGGGCACGUCCGUCGGGAGUGAAAUCCCCCGGCCCAACCGGGGAACAGCUCCCGAGACCGCGUGCCUCGAGGGGGGUAGGGGUCGACGGAACUUCCGGUGGAGCGGUGAAAUGCGUAGAUAUCGGAAGGAACGCCGGUGGCGAAAGCGGUCGACUGGACCCCUUCUGACGCUGAGGCGCGAAAGCCAGGGGAGCAAACGGGAUUAGAUACCCUGGUAGUCC
rnacentral:rRNA from 1 species